rnacentral:rRNA from 1 species
CCCUUAGAUGUUCUGGGCCGCACGCGCGCUACAAUGAUGAAUUCAACGAGUUUAUAACCUUGGUUGAAAAGCCUGGGUAAUCUUUUGAACUUUCGUCGUGAUGGGGCUAGACCCUUGCAAUUAUUGGUCUCCAACGAGGAAUUCCUAGUAAACGCAAGUCAUCAGCUUGCAUUGAUUACGUCCCUGCCCUUUGUACACACCGCCCGUCGCACCUACCGAUUGAAUGGUCCGGUGAAAUCUUCGGACCGUGGCUUUGAUUUGUUUACUCAAAACGCUGUUACGGGAAGUUGAUUAAACCUUACCAUUUAGAGGAAGGUGAAGUCGUAACA